AUGGAGUAUGUGCAUAAAGAAUUGAGUUGGAGAGGGCAGCUACUUGGCUCAGUAAUCUGGUCUCAGACAUUUCCUACCUAUGUGACCCUGGACAAGUCACUUAACAUUCCCCCCCACACACACACACACACACUGCGCCCAUUGCCUUCACUUUCCUGCUCUUCUGACUUGGAGCCAAUAUACUAUUCUAAGACAGAAGAAAAGCAGAUGCAGUAUCCUGAAGUUUCUGAAAUUCUAAACCUGGAAAGGGUCGAGGGGAUCGUUAUAGGAGAAAGAGAGGGAAGAAGAGAGGGAGAAAAAAAAUUUGUUAUUGAUCACCAAGAUUUGUUUUCUUCUCUCUACAUAUGGGUCAAAAGAAUCAACCUCACAACAAAAGAUGGUGAAGGCAUAGCUAUGCAAAAAUUAAUCUUAAGAAGAUCUCAGCUUCUUGGAGGACAGUGGAUCAAGGAGUCAGCAAUGUGUCAUGACAAAAACAAGGGAAAAAAAGAAUAUAAUGCCAUUAUAGGAUUCAUUAAGAAAGUCAGAUAUAGCCUUUCCAUAGGAGGAAAGAGGUAUCAUGAGUUGCCAUAAAGCCAUUCUGCAAAGAGUUGGGUGACGGCAUGUCAGGAAGAAUUGGUCCUCCUAGGUAAGGCAACUGCCAUGUCAAAUGGCAAUGAAUAUCUGACUCCUCUAUAAAGUGGGGCAUAAUCCCUGUAACUCCUGAGAACCACUGGAGUAAUGCAAUUUCUAAAAUGCUUCUUCUUAAUAAAUUAGCAUUCUUUUUCUUGAGAACCA
rnacentral:lncRNA from 1 species